CCUACGGGCGGCAGCAGUGGGGAAUAUUGCGCAAUGGGCGAAAGCCUGACGCAGCGACGCCGCGUGAGGGAUGAAGGUCUUCGGAUCGUAAACCUCUGUCAGCAGGGAAGAACGGUCACUGUGCUAAUCAGCAGUGAAUUGACGGUACCUGCAAAGGAAGCACCGGCUAACUCCGUGCCAGCAGCCGCGGUAAUACGGAGGGUGCGAGCGUUAAUCGGAAUUACUGGGCGUAAAGCGCUCGUAGGCGGUAUGUCAAGUCAAGGGUGAAAGCCCCGGGCUCAACGUGGGAACUGCCUUUGAAACUGGCAAACUGGAGUGUGUGAGCGGAUAGUGGAAUUCCAGGUGUAGGAGUGAAAUCCGUAGAGAUCUGGAGGAACAUCAGUGGCGAAGGCGACUAUCUGGCACAUAACUGACGCUGAGGAGCGAAAGCGUGGGUAGCAAACAGGAUUAGAUACCCGAGUAGUC
rnacentral:rRNA from 1 species